rnacentral:rRNA from 1 species
UACGUAGGAUGCAAGCGUUGUUCGGAAUUACUGGGCGUAAAGCGUAUGUAGGCGGUUACAUAAGUCUUUUAUUAAAGACCGGGGCUCAACCCCGGGAGUGUAAAGGAAACUGUGUGACUAGAGGUCAGAAGGGGAAAUCGGAAUUCUUAGUGUAGCGGUGAAAUGCGUAGAUAUUAGGAAGAACACCGGUGGCGAAAGCGGAUUUCUGGUCUGAAACUGACGCUGAGAUACGAAGGCGUGGGGAGCAAACGGG